UACGAAGGGGGCUAGCGUUGUUCGGAAUUACUGGGCGUAAAGCGCGCGCAGGCGGUCUUCCAAGUCAGUGGUGAAAGCCCGGAGCUCAACUCCGGAACUGCCUUUGAUACUGUCGAUCUGGAGUAUGGAAGAGGUGAGUGGAAUUCCGAGUGUAGAGGUGAAAUUCGUAGAUAUUCGGAGGAACACCAGUGGCGAAGGCGGCUCACUGGACUGGUACUGACGCUGAGGCGCGAAAGCGUGGGGAGCAAACAGG
rnacentral:rRNA from 1 species